AGUGAACGCUGGCGGUAGGCCUAACACAUGCAAGUCGAACGGCAGCACAGUAAGAGCUUGCUCUUACGGGUGGCGAGUGGCGGACGGGUGAGGAAUACAUCGGAAUCUACUUUUUCGUGGGGGAUAACGUAGGGAAACUUACGCUAAUACCGCAUACGACCUACGGGUGAAAGCAGGGGAUCUUCGGACCUUUCGCGAUUGAAUGAGACGAUGUCGGAUUAGCUAGUUGGCGGGGUAAAGGCCCACCAAGGCGACGAUCCGUAGCUGGUCUGAGAGGAUGAUCAGCCACACUGGAACUGAGACACGGUCCAGACUCCUACGGGAGGCAGCAGUGGGGAAUAUUGGACAAUGGGCGCAAGCCUGAUCCAGCCAUACCGCGUGGGUGAAGAAGGCCUUCGGGUUGUAAAGCCCUUUUGUUGGGAAAGAAAAGCAGCAGGUUAAUACCCCGCUGUUCUGACGGUACCCAAAGAAUAAGCACCGGCUAACUUCGUG
rnacentral:rRNA from 1 species